GUUUCAAUUCCUCAUAGGCAGGCUAUCGGCUGAGGCGGGGAAUGUCUACCUUUCUAAUGCUUAAAAAG
rnacentral:sRNA from 1 species